UAUUUAGUUAAUUUUGUUAAUAAUUAUAUAUUUAUUUUAAAGAUUAAACUAUAUAUAUUUAAAUUUAAAUAAUUAAAUUGUAAAACUACGAAUAGUUUAUUAAAUUAAUUAUAAUUUAUUUAAUAGUACUUUACUAUAUAAAUAACUGUAGUAAUUCUAGAGCUAAUAUAUAUUAAAAACCCUGACUUCGGAAGGGGUGUAUUUAUUAGAUUAAAAACUAAUACCCUUCGGGGCUAAUUAGUAAUUUAUAAUAAUUUUUCGAAUUGUAUAACUUUGUACUAGCGAUAGUUUAUUUAAAUUUCUACCCUAUUAACUUUCAACAGCUAGGUCUUAGCUAAUUAUAGUAAUAAUAGGUAAUAGAGGGUUAGGGCUCGAUUCCGGAGAAGGAGCCUAAAAAACAGCUACUAUAUUUAAAGAAAGUAGUAGGCGCGCAAAUUACCCAAUCCUAAUAUAGGGAGGUAGUAAUAAUAAAUAUUAAUAUAAGGCUCUUUUGGGUCUUAUAAUUAGAAUAAAUAUAAUUUAAAUCCCUUAACGAAGAAUAAUUAGAGGGUAAGUCUAAUACUAGCAGCCGUAGUAAUUCUAAUUCUAAUAGUAUAUAUUAAAAUUAUUAAGGUUAAAAAGUUUGUAAUUAAACCUUAGAUUCGGCCUAUCGGUCCGCCUUAUUACGUAUAUUAAUUAGGUUGGGCCUUUUUUCCUAGAGAACCGUAUACCCUUUACUAAGUAUAUUGGGGAAUUAGGACUUUUACUAUGAAUAAAUUAGAUCGUUUAAAGAAGGCCUAUAUUCGAAUAUAUUAGUAUAGAAUAAUAAAAUAGGACAUAUAGUUCUAUUUUAUUAGUUUCUAGGACCGCUAUAAUAAUUAAUAAGGAUAGUUAGAGGUAUUAGUAUUUAAUUAUUAGAAGUGAAAUUCUUGGAUUUAUUAAAGAUUAACUAUUGCGAAAGUAUUUGCCAAGGAUAUUUUUAUUAAUUAGGAACGAAAGUUAGGGGAUCGAAGACGAUUAAAUACUAUUAUAAUUUUAAUUAUAAACUAUACCGAUUAGGGAUCGGACGGUGUUAUUUUUUAACCCGUUUGGUACCUUACGAUAAAUUAAAAUAUUUAGGCUCCUAAGGGAAUAUAGUCGUAAAGUUAAAAUUUAAAGAAAUUAACGGAAAGGUACUAUUAGGGGUGGAACCUACGGUUUAAUUUAAUUUAAUACAGGGAAAUUCACUAAGUCUAAAUAUAAUAAGGAUUGAUAAAUUAAAAGCUCUUUCUUAAUUUCGUAGGUAGUAGUAUAUAGUUAUUUUUAAUUAGUAGAGUAAUUUGUUUAUUUAAUUAUAAUAACGAACAAAAUUUUAAUUUAUUAAAUAGCCUAUAUUACUUUAGUAGUACACUAGCUUCUUAAAGGGACUAUUGGUUUAAAUUAAUAGAAAUUUAAGGUAAUAACAGGUUUGUAAUGCCCUUAAAUAUUCUAGGCUGUAUACGUACUAUACUAAUACAGCUAACGAAUAUUCCCUUAGCCGGAAAGUCCGGGUAAUUUUAUUAAAUUAUAUUGUAUUAGGAAUAGAGUAUUACAAUUAUUACUCUUUAAUAAGGAAUCCCUAAUAAGCGUAAAUCAUUAAUUUACAUUAAUUAUAUCCCUGCCCUUUAUAUAUACUGCCUAUCGCUACUACCGAUUAAAUAGUUUAAUAAAGCUUCUAAAUUAGCUUAAGGAAGUUAGUAAUAACUACCUAGGGCCGGAAAACUAUCUAAAUUCAGUUAUUUAAAGGAAAUAAAAAUCGUAAUAAAGUCUCUAUUAGUAAAUUAGUAGAAGGAUUAUUA
rfam:Neurospora crassa OR74A unplaced genomic scaffold supercont12.8, whole genome shotgun sequence.